rnacentral:misc_RNA from 1 species
GAAAUGCGAUAAGUAAUGUGAAUUGCAGAAUUCCGUGAAUCAUCGAAUCUUUGAACGCACAUUGCGCCCUCUGGCAUUCCGGGGGGCAUGCCUGUCCGAGCGUCAUUACGCACCCUCAAGCCCGUCUUGUGUGAUGGGCCCCGGCGUCUCGUUCGCGAGACGGGCCCGAAAGGCAGCGGCGGCGUCGACCCGAUGAGCCCGAGCGUAUGGGGACUUCUGUCACACGUUCGCGGUGCGGACCGGCGCCUGCUUUGACUUUUCUGAUUAUCCAGGUUGACCUCGGAUCAGGUAGGGAUACCCGCUGAACUUAAGC